rnacentral:rRNA from 1 species
UACAGAGGGGGCAAGCGUUGUUCGGAAUUACUGGGCGUAAAGGGCGCGUAGGCGGCCUUCUAAGUCGAACGUGAAAUCCCCGGACUCAACCCGGGAACUGCGUCCGAUACUGGAAGGCUUGAAUCCGGGAGAGGGAUGCGGAAUUCCAGGUGUAGCGGUGAAAUGCGUAGAUAUCUGGAGGAACACCGGUGGCGAAGGCGGCAUCCUGGACCGGCAUUGACGCUGAGGCGCGAAAGCCAGGGGAGCAAACGGG